GUGGGGAAUAUUGGACAAUGGGGGGAACCCUGAUCCAGCCAUGCCGCGUGUGUGAAGAAGGCCUUUUGGUUGUAAAGCACUUUAAGCGAGGAGGAGGCUACCGAGAUUAAUACUCUUGGAUAGUGGACGUUACUCGCAGAAUAAGCACCGGCUAACUCUGUGCCAGCAGCCGCGGUAAUACAGAGGGUGCAAGCGUUACUCGGAUUUACUGGGCGUAAAGCGCGCGUAGGUGGCCAAUUAAGUCAAAUGUGAAAUCCCCGAGCUUAACUUGGGAAUUGCAUUCGAUACUGGUUGGCUAGAGUAUGGGAGAGGAUGGUAGAAUUCCAGGUGUAGCGGUGAAAUGCGUAGAGAUCUGGAGGAAUACCGAUGGCGAAGGCAGCCAUCUGGCCUAAUACUGACACUGAGGUGCGAAAGCAUGGGGAGCAAACAGGAUUAGAAACCCGAGUAGUCC
rnacentral:rRNA from 1 species